GAUGAACGCUGGCGGCGUGCCUAAUACAUGCAAGUCGAGCGAACAGACGAGGAGCUUGCUCCUCUGACGUUAGCGGCGGACGGGUGAGUAACACGUGGAUAACCUACCUAUAAGACUGGGAUAACUUCGGGAAACCGGAGCUAAUACCGGAUAAUAUAUUGAACCGCAUGGUUCAAUAGUGAAAGACGGUUUUGCUGUCACUUAUAGAUGGAUCCGCGCCGCAUUAGCUAGUUGGUAAGGUAACGGCUUACCAAGGCAACGAUGCGUAGCCGACCUGAGAGGGUGAUCGGCCACACUGGAACUGAGACAGGGUCCAGACUCCUACGGGAGGCAGCAGUAGGGAAUCUUCCGCAAUGGGCGAAAGCCUGACGGAGCAACGCCGCGUGUGUGAUGAAGGUCUUCGGAUCGUAAAACUCUGUUAUUAGGGAAGAACAAAUGUGUAAGUAACUAUGCACGUCUUGACGGUACCUAAUCAGAAAGCCACGGCUAACUACGUG
rnacentral:rRNA from 1 species